rnacentral:rRNA from 1 species
CCGGGGUGCUGUUGAUACCGAUAAAAGGUGCUGCAUGGCUGUCCUCUCCUCGUGUCGUGAGAUGUUGGGUUAAGUCCCGUAACGAGCGCAACCCUUGCCCUUAGUUGCCAGCGCGUCACGGCGGGAACUCUAAGGGGACUGCCGGUGAUAAACCGGAGGAAGGUGGGGAUGACGUCAAGUCAUCAUGGCCCUUAUGGGCUGGGCUACACACGUGCUACAAUGGCCGGUACACAGGGUUGCCAACCCGCGAGGGGGAGCCAAUCUCACAAAACCGGUCAUAUUCCGGAUCGCAUUCUGCAACUCGACUGCGUGAAGUCGGAAUCGCUAGUAAUCGCGAAUCAGCAUGUCCCGGUGAAUACGUUCCCGGGCCUUGU